UGAUGGGAUGGCUCCGCUCAGAACAGAGCCCUUACACCAUCUUCAUCAUCACACCACUGGACUAUGUUGAAACUCUAGGUCAGGGACCUCAUGUUUCUUUGUCACCACCACAGCCCCAGGGCCCAGCAGGUGCAGCAGACAGAGAAGGGACGCAUGUGCCUGUUACUCCGUCUGCUGUAGGUCAGGUCCACAGAAGAAUCAGCCCCAGAGAAAGACGGAAAAAGAGCUAUUGGUGAGAACUUUGCAUAAAUAUUCAACCUAUGUAUCUAUCUUCUCUAGCCACAUAAUCACAUCCUUUUAUUUCACCAGUAAAAGGAUG